AUGAGCAUGACGCCCACGACCCGGCCGUCGCUGACCUUGCGGUCGGUGAGGACCUUCAGUCCAGUCUGAAGGCCGGCACUGAUGUUUGUGCCGCCGCGGGCGAUAAGGCCGUUGACGAUCUUCUGCAAAUCCCGCUGGGAGUCCCGGGUGAUCUGCCGCAGUGGGCACAGCCUAGUGGCAUCAUUGGAGAAGGUGACGAUGGAGAGGCGGUCGAUGGGGCAAAGCUUCCUAACGACAAACUGCAUGGCGACUUUCAUCUCGUCGAUUUUCUCACCCGACAUGCUGCCACUCACGUCUAGUACGACCACUAGGUCCAGGCCCGGCCGGUCAACGCUGGAGUCACCGCCGGUGAGCUCCAGCAUCACCUUCUGGUUGUUCUCCUUGAGAGGCGCCUCUUUACUGUUCUUUAUCACCAGCUGCACUGUAAUAUUAAGACUAUUGUGCAAUGUUAGCUUUACUUUUUUCUUUUCCUUUUUUCUUUUGCAUUUGAUUGGAUUUAAUUCACUUGUUAAAUGUUGA
rnacentral:rRNA from 1 species